rnacentral:rRNA from 1 species
GCUGGGUCGCGCUUUCGCGCGCGAUCUCACGCGUGUUUGCCUGACGGGUGCUUUUAUUAGACCAAACAUCGCUGGCGGCGCAAGCCGCUAGACUCGUUGAAUGGCGACUCUGGAUAACCUUUUGACAAGCGCACGUACUUCAUUCAUGGAGACGGCGCUGCCACUUUCGAGUGUCUGCCUUAUCAGCUAUCAACCGUUCGUUAUGUGCGACCGAUGGCUUUGACGGGUAACGGGGAAUCAGGGUUCGAUUCCGGAGAGGCAGCCUGAGAAACGGCUACCACGUCCAAGGACGGCAGCAGGCACGCAAAUUACCCAAUCCCAGCACCUGGGGGAGGUAGUGACGAAAUCUAACGAUGCGGGCGCCCAUUCUGGGCCUCGCAAUCGGAAUGAGCAUUUUCUAAACAACCUGUUGAGAACCUACUGAAGGGCAAGUCUGGUGCCAGCAGCCGCGGUAAUUCCAGCUUCAGCAGCAUAUAUUAAAGUUGCUGCGGUUAAAAGGCUCGCAGUUGAAUGUCAGUGUUGGGCGACGGUAAGGUGGACGCUGGAGCAUGGGAACUAAGCGCGCUCGCGUGUUAGCUCGGCGGCCUUCUCUCGGCGUAGCGCUCUCACGCGCGAAACCGGGGAGAGAGCCGUCGUCUCUCGCGGGCGUCUCUCACAAGCUCCCGUCUGUUACAAGCCUCCUCGCUCCAGUACAUGGGCGGUGACUCCUCUCCUCGGAUUGCGUGCGCCUCUGCCGGCCUCGCGAAAGCUGAUCUCUCCCAAUAUUGUCUGUCUUUGUGUCUCUCUCUUUUCUCUCUCUCUCUCUCGCGCCAGGAGCGGGCGCGCGCGCACAAGUGGGCGCGCGCCCAGGUCUUCUCUGGGUCUUGCGGGGAGGAGGAGGAGGAGCAGCAGGCGUAUUCUCGGGGUUUUUGAGGGAGCUUUCGGCCUAGCCUGGCGCUAACGGCGUGGCGUCUUCGUGCCUUGGAGUGGGGCGUGGUCUUGCUCGCGGGCCAGAGUGCGUGUCUGAGGCGCGUACGUGGUCGCUCGCGCGCGUGCGCAGGGAAGGAUAAUCUUCUCCUGCGUGCCGCCGGGCGUUCUCGCGUGCGUUAGCUCUCUCUCGCAUGCCUCCCGCGUCGCGCGCGCCCCUCUGUGUGUGUCGUUGCAUUGUCACCUUGAGUAAAUCGGAGUGCUCAAAGCAGUCGUAAAGGGUUUCGGCCCUGUGAUAAGUCUUGACGGACUGUCUUGAUUUUGCAUGGUAUGUCGGAAAACGACGUCGAGUGCUGGCUAAGAGUUUAUAGAAGUGGUUUCAAGCCAAAAAGCCUCGACGUAAUGAUUAAAAGGAACGGUCGAGGGCAUUGGUAUUGCGAGGCGAGAGGUGAAAUUCUAUGACCCCCGCAAGACCGCCUGAAGCGAAAGCGUCUGCCAAGGACGUUUUCAUUAAUCAUGAACGAAAGUUAGAGGAUCGAAGGCGAUCAGAUACCGCCCUAGUUCUGACCCUAAACGAUGCCAACCAUCAAUCCGCGUGAGCACCCUUUUUGACGGGCUCGGCGGGCAGCUCUCUUUUCACGGGAAACCAGAGUCUCUGGGUUCCGGGGGGAGUCUGGUUGCAAAGCUGAAACUUAAAGGAAUUGACGGAAAGGCACCACCAGGAGUGGAGCCUGCGGCUUAAUUUGACUCAACACGGGCCAUCUCACCAGGCCAGAACUCUAGCACGAUUGACAGAUUGAGAGCUCUUUCUCGAUUGAGUGGAUGGUGGUGCAUGGCCGUUCUUAGUUGGUGGAGUGAUCUGUCUGGUUAAUUCCGAUAACGAACGAGACUCUCCCCUGCUAACUAGUCGGUUGGAUCUUGUAUUUCGAUGCGAGUCGUGCGCCGGGUUUUCCUUCGCCCUGUGGCUGCGGUGCGAGAGUUUCCUGUCUCGCGCUGGGGGUGUGAGUGUGUGCGCGUGGUCGUGGUCUCAUGUAUAUGCGCGCGAUCGCAUGGCGGCGGCGGCGGCGUGAAAGCGUCGCUGUCUCUCGUCCUCGACGCGUGUGUGUGUGUGUGGGCUGUGGCUGUGUGUGCGUGCUCUCCUUGGCGUGGGGCGGGCUCUCUGUGCCGUUCGUUGCUUGGCGUGUCUGGCUUUCCCGGGUCGUACACUCCAAGUCCGCCGCUUAUGCUAUAAAACUCUUCUUAGAGGGAUCAACGGCUCUGAAGCCGUACGAGACUGAGAGCAAUAACAGGUCUGUGAUGCCCUUAGAUGUUCUGGGCCGCACGCGCGCUACAAUGCCGGGCACAGCAGGUGUUUUCCCUACUCCGAAAGGAGCGGGCAACCCUCUGAAAGCCCCUCCUCAUCAAAUGUCUAUCGGCCGGCGAGCAAUCGUCGGUCGAGUGUAUUGGCGUGCUUGGGCCUGGGGCUUGCAAUUCUUUCCCACAAACGAGGAAUGCCUAGUAGCGGCGG